CGGUGAAUACGUUCCCGGGCCUUGUACACACCGCCCGUCACGUCAUGAAAGUUGGAGACGCCUGAAGUCGGUAACCGCAAGGAGCCGCCUAGGGUAAAACUAGUAACUGGGGCU
rnacentral:rRNA from 1 species